UCUUCCGUAGUAUAGUGGUCAGUAUAUGAGCUUGUCAUGUCGUCUUUCCUUGUAAGAGGAAGACAUGGACAUCGCUCGGGACCCGGGUUCAAUUCCCGGCGGGAGAG